rnacentral:rRNA from 1 species
CACCAAUGGCGAAGGCAGGUCUCUGGGCCAAUACUGACACUGAGGAGCGAAAGCGCGGGGAGCGAACAGGAUUAGAUACCCUGGUAGUCCGCGCCGUAAACGAUGGGCGCUAGUUGUGGGGACCUUCCACGGUUUCUGCGACGCAGCUAACGCAUUAAGCGCCCCGCCUGGGGAGUACGAUCGCAAGAUUAAAACUCAAAGGAAUUGACGGGGACCCGCACAAGCAGCGGAGCAUGCGGCUUAAUUCGACGCAACGCGAGGAACCUUACCAAGGCUUGACAUAUAGUGAAAAGCGGCAGAGAUGUCGUGUCCGCAAGGGCGCUAUACAGGUGGUGCAUGGUUGUCGUCAGCUCGUGUCGUGAGAUGUUGGGUUAAGUCCCGCAACGAGCGCAACCCUCGUUCUGUGUUGCCAGCAUUUAGUUGGGGACUCACAGGAGACUGCCGUGGUUAACACGGAGGAAGGUGGGGAUGACGUCAAAUCAACAUGCCCCUUAUGUCUUGGGCUGCACGCAUGCUACAAUGGCCGAUACAAAGGGCUGCAAUACCGUGAGGUGGAGCGAAUCCCAUAAAGUCGGUCUCAGUUCGGAUUGAGGUCUGCAACUCGACCUCAUGAAGUCGGAGUUGCUAGUAAUCGUAGAUCAGCAACGCUACGGUGAAUACGUUCCCGGGGCUUGUACACACCGCCCGUCACGUCACGAAAGUCGGUAACACCCAAA